GACGAACGCUGGCGGCGUGCUUAACACAUGCAAGUCGAACGGUGAAGCGCCUUCCUUUUUGGUGGGUGUGGAUGAGUGGCGAACGGGUGAGUAACACGUGAGUAACCUGCCCCCUUCUUCUGGAUAACCGCAUGAAAGUGUGGCUAAUACGGGAUAUUCUGGGUCUGUCGCAUGAUGGGUCUGGGACAGAUAUUGUUUCGGUGGGGGAUGGGCUCGCGGCCUAUCAGCUUGUUGGUGGGGUGAUGGCCUACCAAGGCGGUGACGGGUAGCCGGCCUGAGAGGGUGGACGGUCACACUGGGAGUGAGACACGGCACAGACUCAUACGAGAGGCAGCAGGGGGGAAUAUUGCACAAUGGGCGCAAGUCUGAUGCAGCGGCGCCGUGUGAGGGAAGGAUCCCUGCGGGGUGUGAAUCUCUUUCGAGAGUGAAGCAGGUCUGCAUCGUUUGUGGGUCGGUUGACGGUAGCUGGAGAAGAAGCGCCGGCUAACUACGUG
rnacentral:rRNA from 1 species